rnacentral:rRNA from 1 species
GACGAACGCUGGCGGCGUGCCUAAUACAUGCAAGUCGAGCGGAGUUGAAAAAAAGUUUACUUUUUUUCUUCUCAGCGGCGGACGGGUGAGUAACACGUGGGCAACCUGCCCUGUAGACUGGGAUAACUUCGGGAAACCGAAGCUAAUACCGGAUAAUCAUAGAAGUUGCAUAGCUUCUAUGUAAAAGUUGGGUUUACCUAACACUACAGGAUGGGCCCGCGUCGCAUUAGCUAGUUGGUAAGGUAACGGCUUACCAAGGCGACGAUGCGUAGCCGACCUGAGAGGGUGAUCGGCCACACUGGGACUGAGACACGGCCCAGACUCCUACGGGAGGCAGCAGUAGGGAAUCUUCCGCAAUGGACGAAAGUCUGACGGAGCAACGCCGCGUGAGCGAUGAAGGCCUUCGGGUCGUAAAGCUCUGUUGUUAGGGAAGGACAAGUGCUAUUC